rnacentral:lncRNA from 1 species
GGAGUCGCUGGGUAAUGCGCCAUGUGAGGCGCGGUGGGACUGUCGUUCCUGGACCAACGCCGAGACUUCCUAAAUCCCUCCGGAAAGGGAUGCGUUGGGCCUGUGAUCUGGCGACUAGGAGGGUCAGGAGUCCCAGUAGAGGGAAUCACGGGAAAAGAAUGAAAGAGGGAGGCGAGCCUGGCACGGCUUCCUGGAGAAACAAACUAAGCUAACAAAUUUUUCGGAUCCUUUGUGCAGCUAAUUUUACAGUACUGUUUCAUACAUCUUAUUAUAUUUGGACAUCACGGCCUGUUGAGUGGUCUCCCUCUCUGCUGCAAGCUCUGCUGUAAUCCAGAGACACUCAAUUAUCUCUGUAGGAUAAUUUAUUCAUUCGAUUAACAUACAUUACUACUAACUUUUUAUAAACCAGUACUGUUCCAAGCACCGGAGAUACAUAGCUAUGAACGAAACAAAUAUCCCUGCUCAGGGAAUUCACAAUAGAGUGAGGGGAAAUAAGCGAAUAAACAAUGAAUCUCUUGUUCUGAGGGAAGCCAUGUACAUCAUUAGCAGUUCUAUAAAGAGGAUCACAUGGCAAGAAACUGAAACAUUCUGCCAGCUGCCCUGUGAAAGAACUUGGAAGUAGACCCUCCAGCCCUAAUCAAGUCUUCAGAGACUGUACUCAGCCAACAAUUGACUGCAACCUCAUAAGAGACCCUGAGCCAGACCGCCCAACGAGAAACUGUGUGAGAUAAUGUUUGUUGUAUUAAGAUGCUAAAUUUGAGGGUCAUUUGUUAUACAAUGAGAGAAGUAGGAGGUAAGGGACUAUGAAAAGUUGGUAGAGUCAAGAAGUUGUAGGUUCCUGUGGUGGUCUAAAGUUUGUUAGAACAGGAUACUCAAAAGAAUGUGCUAAGAUAAGAGGUGGUCUGAGAGUAGGCUGCUUGGAGCUGAGUGUAUGCAGAGGUUGUGGUUAUUGGUGCUGUCAAAGUCUAUGGUAUGACCAAAGGAGGGAAAGCUAAGGUGGGUUAAAGAACAAGAUCACUGGAGAAGAGGUCAUAGAAACCAAACACCAGAGCAUUGAUUGGAUGAUCCAUGAGGAUACUGAAAUCACCAAAAAAUAUAACAAGAAUGAUGUUGGAGAAAGCCAGAAGCAACAAUCUUGAAAAGGCUUGGAGGUUGGUGGGUAAGUAUAGCUUGGAAACCCAAGCAUGGUAUAUUCUGGUGACAUGAGGUUCAAAGUUGGAGGUGAGGUUAAGAAAAAGGGAGGAUGUGGUUUAGCAAAAGCACUGAGUAACUGAAUAGCAAGAAGGAAACCCAUCCCACCUCCACCCAGAGGGGCAAGGAACAGAAAACAGCUACUAUUAGACUAUGGAAAUUAUGUUAGACAAAAAACAAAUGCAAGCAGUUUUCUUAUUCGAGUUCAAAAUGGGCUGCAAAGCAGCAGAGACAACUUGCAACAUCAAGAGUGCAUUUGGCCCAGGAACUGCUAAUGAACGUACAGUGCAGUGGUGGUUCAAGAAGUUUUGCAAAGGAUGGCCAGGCGCAGCAGCUCACACCUAUAAUCCCAGCACUUUGGGAGGCCAAGGCAUCCGGAUCACUUGAAGUCAGGAGUUCGAGGCCAGCCAGGCCAACAUGGUGAAACCCCAUCUCUACUAAAAAUAAAAAAAUUAGCUGGGCAUGGUGGCAUGCACCUGUAAUCCCAGCUACUCGGGAGGCUGAGGUGGGAGAAGCGCUUGAACCCAGGAGGCAGAGGUUGCAGUGAGCUGAGAUUGUGCCACUGCACUCCAGUGACAGAACAAGACUCCGUCUCAAUUUAAAAAGAAAGAAAGAAAGAAAGAAAGUUUUGCAAAGGAGCUGAGAGCCUUGAAGAUGAUGAGCAUAGUGACCGGCCAUGGGAAGUUGACAAUGACCAAUUGAGAGCAAUCAUUGAAGCUGAUCCUCUUAUAGCUACAUGAGAAGUUGCCUAAGAACUCAAUGUUGACCAUUCUAUCGUCACUCAGCAUUUGAAGCAAAUUGGAAAGGUAAAAAAGCUCGAUAAGUGGAUGCCUCAUGAGCCAACUGAAAAUAAAAAAAAUAUAUCGUUUUGAAGUGUUGUCUUCUCUUGUUCUACACAACAAUGAACCAUUUCUCGAUUGGAUUGAGAUGUGCUAUGAAAAGUAGAUUUUAUACAACAGCUGGCAAUGACCAGCUCAAUGGUUGGGCCCAGAAGAAGCUCCACAGCACUUCCCAAAGCACCAAAAACAGGUCAUGGUCACCGUUUGGUGGUCUGCUGCCAGUCUGAUCCACUACGGCUUUCCGAAUCCCAGUGAAACCAUUACAUCUGAGAAGUAUGCUUAGCAAAUCAAUGAGGCACUGAAAAGUGCAACACCUGCAGCUGACAGUGGUCAACAGAAAGGACCCAAUUCUUCUCCACAGCAACUACAAUGCCCGACUGCAUGUCGCACAACCAACCCUUCAAAAGUUGAACAAAUUGAUCUAUGAAGUUUUGCCUCAUCCACCAUAUUCAUCUGACCUGUGGCCAACCAACUACCACUUCUUCAAGCAUCUCAACAACUUUUUGCAGAGAAAACACUUCUACAACCAGCAGGAUGCAGAAAAUACUUUUUAAGAGUUUGGCGAAUCUGGAAGCACAGCUUCUUACACUACAGGAAUAAACGAACUUAUUUCUCAUUGGCAAAAAGGUGUUGAUUGUAAUGGUUCCUAUUUUGAUUAAUAAAAAUAUAUCUGAGCCUAGUUAUAAUCACUUAAAAUUCAUGGUCCAA